CAAUAGCGUAUAUUAAAGUUGUUGCAGUUAAAAAGCUCGUAGUUGGAUUUCUGAUCGAGACAUCAGGUCGGGUCCGAGAGGAUCAUGUACUUUGAUUUUGUUUUGAUCAUCCUUGGGGAGAGCAUUUCUGGCAUUCAGUUGUCGGGAUUGGGAUCCUCAUCGUUUACUGUGAAAAAAUUAGAGUGUUCAAAGCAGGCCUCGGCCUCUGAAUACAUUAGCAUGGAAUAAUAAGAUAGGACUUUGGUGGUCUAUUUUGUUGGUUUGCACGCCAAAGUAAUGAUUAAUAGGGAUAGUUGGGGGUAUUCGUAUUCAAUUGUCAGAGGUGAAAUUCUUGGAUUUAUGGAAGACGAACUACUGCGAAAGCAGUUACCAAGGAUGUUUUCAUUAA
rnacentral:rRNA from 1 species